CGCAGGUUCUAACCCCUCGUGAUCCCCCACUACCCGGCCGCUUUCACGACGAUCACACGACCCGACGUUUUUCCACCCUUAUCUUCGCUCGCUUCACCGUCUCAAAAACCUGUAUAGGCACUUUCAUAGCUUGCGCCGCGAAGAUGUCAACGGGGAUGUCGCUUUUUUCUCUCUCCCCCCCUCCCCCCCUCUCUCUCUCCAUCUCUUUGUCAAGAGUGGGGGACGACGCUCGCGAUCGUCGAUACGGGCCUGUGUUUCGACCACGGGAACGGAAACUUUUGCAUCCUGCUCUUUUACUGCCGAUGCCCAACGAUCCCUCAACUGACUGUUUGUCGAGGAAUUUUUCCUUUUGGUUGCCAAACAGCGGAAUCCAAGACACAUCAGCCCCAUUGGAGCAUGCUCUUCGGGACUCGCGGAGUCUCGGCUACGGCCGUGCUCGAGGAACCGAGUUUUACGCGGUGUGCGAGCUUCCACGGGCGAGGGGAGGACGAUGGAAAGGGCGAACGAGCGGAGGCUGAGGCAACGGGACGCGGAAGAGGGCGGCGCGGCGUGGCAACCGGCGGGCAAACAACAAGAGGUUUUCGUAGCCGGCUAACGGCAGAGUUUCCUCAUAAACUCUUAGGGAAGUUCGCAGACAAACACAGAAAUAUUUUGUAAUGGAAACACGUCCCUGAGAAAUUAAAUAUCGCAAUGAAGAAGAUGAAGUUGCGUUUGUAGCCGAGUGCUACGAGGAGACGACUGCCGGCGAAUCCAGAAGCGUAUUACGUGCGACGAACAGUCAUUAAUCGCUACCGUUUUCGAACGUCGUGAAUGUCAAUCACCUGAUCUUAUUCUCUUUCGAUUUAUUGGGUUGGCAACUAAGUGACUGCGGAUUUUGUCAAUAUCAUCUAAUGACAAAAUCCGCAAUCACUUAGUUGCCAACCCAAUAGAUAGAAAGUCAUCGCGUUGCUCAUUCGUCCAAAGUAUGGAGGAUCUGUGCUAUUC